UACAGAGGUGGCAAGCGUUGUUCGGAAUUACUGGGCGUAAAGGGCGCGUAGGCGGCCACCGCAAGUCGAUUGUGAAAUCUCCGGGCUUAACCCGGAAAGGUCAACCGAUACUGCGGGGCUAGAGUGCAGAAGGGGCAACUGGAAUUCUCGGUGUAGCGGUGAAAUGCGUAGAUAUCGAGAGGAACACCUGCGGCGAAGGCGGGUUGCUGGGCUGACACUGACGCUGAAGUGCGAAAGCUAGGGGAGCGAACGGG
rnacentral:rRNA from 1 species